UGUUAUAAUAGUUUAUAUUAAAACCUUGGUCUUGUAAACCAAAAUAAGAUUUAAAAAUCUUUAUAAC
rnacentral:tRNA from 1 species